rnacentral:rRNA from 1 species
AUGGCCACCUGCCUCUCAGACAUGAUUAGUGACCAUUCCCUUGACUUCCUGGGUCUGCAAGAAACUAUAAAGAAAGAGUUCACACCUAAGUGCUUGAGAAGAAUUGACCUCUUUGACAUAUUCCAGUGGAAUUGGGUGCCUUCUAUGGGCAAAUCUGGGGGCAUUUUAUGUGGUGCGAGGAGAGAUACUUUUGAUAUAGUAUCCUGUGCUAAGGGCAAAUAUGUGUUGCAACUAGUGUUGUAUGACAAAAAGAAAAAAAUACAGUGGGGUUUGCUGGUAGUUUAUGGAUCGGCACAUGAUGAGUUAAAAAAUGAAUUCCUGGUUGAGCUAGCAUCCUUUUGUAGUGGCAUGACCAUGCCCUACAUAGUGAGGGGAGACUUUAAUAUCCCGAGACAUUCGGGAGAGAAUAAUAAGAAGAUGGUGAAUAGCAAAGCCACUGACCUAUUUAACUCCAUUAUCAAUACACUAGCUCUUAGGGAAAUUCAUAUCAGUGGGGGGAAAUAUACUUGGACUAAAUACCAGACUCAUCCCACACUAGAAAAACUAGACCGAAUCCUUAUGUCUGGAUGCUGGGAAGAUAUCUUCCCACUGGUCUCUGUGAGGAAAUUAGUUCGGGAGAUUUCUGAUCAUAACCCACUUCUGUUUUCCUCCGGGGAAGAGGGACGCAAAGCCCCGAAACCCCGUGAAUUUCGUUUUAAUCUGUCCUGGAUCAAUGAUGACAAGUUCCUGCCCACUGUGAUGAGAAUAUGGGCUAGGAAUGUUGCUUCAUCAGAUCCAAUUGAUGUCCCGAAUAUCAAGCUGAAAAGAUUCAAAACAUAUUUUAAAGGUUGGGGUUCGGAUAAGUAUGGUCACGAUAAGAAAAGGAAAGAGGACUUACGUAUGGAACUAGCUAUGCUUGAGGAACUGGAAGAAGAAGAUAUGUUGCCUCCUGACUUAUAUAGUAGAAAAAUGGAUAUCAACGCUGAGCUCUAUGAGCUCCUGGUAAAUGAGGAAAUAUUUUGGCUUCAACAGUAUCAUGAGCGCUGGCUGCUCAAAGGAGACUUGAAUACUGACUAUUAUCACAAGAUUGCUAAUGGGCGGAAACGUAAAAAUACAAUCCAAUCACUUAAAAUGGACUGA